rnacentral:rRNA from 1 species
GACGAACGCUGGCGGCGUGCUUAACACAUGCAAGUCGAGCGGUAAGGCCCUUUCGGGGGUACACAAGCGGCGAACGGGUGAGUAACACGUGGGUGACCUGCCCUCAGCUCUGGGAUAAGCCUGGGAAACCGGGUCUAAUACCGGAUAUGACUCCAUGACGCAUGUUGUGGGGUGGAAAGCCUUGCGCGGCUGAGGAUGGGCCCGCGGCCUAUCAGCUUGUUGGUGGGGUGAUGGCCUACCAAGGCGACGACGGGUAGCCGGCCUGAGAGGGCGACCGGCCACACUGGGACUGAGACACGGCCCAGACUCCUACGGGAGGCAGCAGUGGGGAAUCUUGCGCAAUGGGCGAAAGCCUGACGCAGCGACGCCGCGUGAGGGAUGACGGCCUCGGUU